rnacentral:rRNA from 1 species
ACGAACGCUGGCGGCGUGCUUAACACAUGCAAGUCGAACGGAAAGGCCCUGCUUUUGUGGGGUGCUCGAGUGGCGAACGGGUGAGUAACACGUGAGUAACCUGCCCUUGACUUUGGGAUAACUUCAGGAAACUGGGGCUAAUACCGGAUAGGAGCUCCUGCUGCAUGGUGGGGGUUGGAAAGUUUCGGCGGUUGGUGAUGGACUCGCGGCUUAUCAGCUUGUUGGUGGGGUAGUGGCUUACCAAGGCUUUGACGGGUAGCCGGCCUGAGAGGGUGAACGGCCACAUUGGGACUGAGAUACGGCCCAGACUCCUACGGGAGGCAGCAGUGGGGAAUAUUGCACAAUGGGCGGAAGCCUGAUGCAGCAACGCCGCGUGCGGGAUGACGGCCUUCGGGUUGUAAACCGCUUUCGCCUGUGACGAAGCGUGAGUGACGGUAAUGGGUAAAGAAGCACCGGCUAACUACGUG